rnacentral:rRNA from 1 species
GUUUCAGCAGCCGCGGUAAUACGUAGGUGGCGAGCGUUGUCCGGAUUUACUGGGCGUAAAGGGCGUGCAGGCGGUCUGCUAAGUCUAGGGUGAAAGCUCCCGGCUCAACUGGGAGAGGUCCUUGGAUACUGGCGGACUUGAGGGAUGCAGAGGAAAGUGGAAUUCCCGGUGUAGUGGUGAUAUGCGUAGAUAUCGGGAGGAACACCAGUGGCGAAGGCGGCUUUCUGGGCAUUACCUGACGCUGAGACGCGAAAGCGUGGGGAGCGAACCGGAUUAGAUACCCGUGUAGUCC